UUCCAAAGCCUUUAAGAUCCUGGGCUGGAAACACGUGUGACAUUCGAGGAGCUUGUUAAAGAAAUGGUGGACGAGGACAUCAAGCUCAUGCGGAACAACCCGAAUGCCUGAGCCCACACGCCUUCAUCUCCAUGCAUGCCAAAGAGGCGGUUGUCGUGUUUGUGUGUGUGUGAUCACUGGAAGAAGCAUUCAGCUGCAUUUUUUUUUCUCUCCUGCUUCAGCUUUCUGAUCUCAGUUUCACUGUGUUUUUUUAGGGUGCCCUGUGUUGCCUUUCUCUGUUACUGUCAUAUUUUAAGGUUAUAUGUAUGGAUUUUUAGUUUGUGUUGUCUAAAUGAUUUGUAUCCAUUUUUAUAAAGUGUUUUUUAUUCAUAAUCAUGAAAACAAAAUAUUUGUAAAUAAGGGAGUAAAGGGUUUUUAGAGCUUUUUUAAGGUGCUUGCUGUUUAAUUCAUGUCAUUGUAGUUUAAGGAAUCACAUUAAUCUGGUGGAACAUAAAAAAAUUUGUUUCCUGAUUAAUUAAAAUGCAAAUGCAAAAUAUGACAUUUUAUAAAUUAGUUGUGUGCAAA